UCAAGUACUCCGUAGUAGCAAAUCUGGGGCUGUCUCCCAACUGCCCAAUCCCGUCUCCAACUUGCCGAUCCACCUCUCCCCACCGUCCCCCGCCGCCGGCCCGGCUCCCCCGCCUCGUUUUGUGUCCCUGCGCGCUCACGUCUCUCCAUCCCCACCCUCCGCGCCGCUCUCCUUCCCCGCCGUCAUCGUCCACGUGCACGGAGCCGGAGGUCCUCGUGGGAAGCGCCCUGGAGGGCCCGGACGGUGGACAACGCCGCGUCGUACGGGACAAAGCGGAGCGCGCGCGGCCGCGAGAUCCACCUCUGGCUGGUAGGAUCCGCCAUCGGCGGCGAGAGGGCUCACCUCAAGGUCGGAGGGGUAGAUGCAGGAGUCGGUGUCUUCUUCGAUGUCCUUGGAGAUCCACAUCUUGAGUGGCUGCUGUAUUUUCCGGGGAGUGGUGUUGCGCCGUGGAGCUGCUAUGCAAGUACCGGCCGAGCUGAUCUUGCCUCGAGUACCGGAACGGGUGUACGUGCUCAGUCUCUACGCCUGCAACGAGGGAUUCCGCCCCGCCGCCGAUCAUGCCCGCCGUCUUCUCGCUUGGAGUGCCGUCCUCACCUCCGCUUGCUGGAGGUGCUCGGUUGCUAAUCCUAUGGUGGCGGCUGGAAGGAACCGGAGGUGCUCAUGUAGUCAUGUUGCAGCCACAUGUCAUCCUACAGAGCCAGGGAAGGCUAGGGUCUUGAGUAACACUGAGGAUGAAAACGAUGCCCUCAAGGUCUUGCUCCCUUCUAUUUGCAUCAUUGCUUUUACAUCUUCUUUUUAUUUUUGGCAUAGUCUGCGUGCGGUGCAAAUUUGACUCCGUAUAUGUACCCUAUGGUGAUCCUAUUCCUAGAUUAUAUUUGGAUGCUUGGUAGUUGGUACAAAAGCAGGGAUGCCAACUAAGAGAUGAUGCUGCCUGCAGCAAAGGCUUGACAGUUGACACCCUGACACUGGUAAUUUAGUCUCUUGGCAACGUAUGUUUAUAAUUGAGAACCACAUAUAUAGUUAUAUAUGAUCUCUGUUUCAUGGUAUAUGAUUGCAGAUUUCUCAUAGAUGUAACAGAAUGAUGCAGUUUUAUUGUGUUGGUGCCUACUUAUCAUACACUUUUUUUCGAUAAAGACUUAUCAUACACUUACUGUACAAAGUGAAUAUUUUGGUACAGUGCCAACUUUUAUGCAAUGACAUAGCUAAUAGGGGCAUUUCCAGUCUUCAGUUAACUCCCACAAGAGGAGCACAAAUGUUCAAUAAUACGCGAACAAGUUGUUCAGCAAAAUUAAAUAAAUUGUUAGAUUCAUGUUCUUAUUAUAUUAUGCGAGAGGAGUUUCCUAUGUAAUUCCUUAUGGUAACUUUGAAUGUAUUAUUUUUUUGUCACGCAGCUAUUUUUCAUGUGAAAUUUACUUACUUUGAUGCCUCUUGUGUGAUACACAAAUUCUUGGUAUUGUGCUAUUUUUUUUACCGGUUUCUGUCUAUUCCCUUGAGUAUUUUUUUCUCUGCUAGGAUAUGAUAGUUAACCUUCAGAAUAGGUGUGCAUAUCCUACAGGCAUGGAAAUACAUAGAAGAUGUAGAAAGAUCUAAUUUCUGAUCUCCCAACAUGUAAGGAAUAUUGUUUGGUAGGAUAUGUUUCGAGUGUGAAUCUUCAUACUGAGUUGUGGUUUUAUUAUAAAUUGGUACUCAUGAUUUUCCUUUCAGCGUAUAAUCAUUGUUAAGCCUAAACUUAGUUUUUGUGUCAAUUUUUUUAUCAGCUUGGGCUCGCCUCAUUAUCUCUAAAAGAUCGUUUUAAGCCACCAGCUAUGUGCUCUGCCUAUGUGAUCCAUCAGUAGCCGAAGAUCAAAAUCUUGACAGGUUGCAACUCUGCCUCAAAUUGUAUUUUUUUGCCAACAUUUUUGUGUUGAAAAAAGGAACAAAGUUUAAAUCUUCACUCUCAAACUCAUUGGAAAUGUACCUUUUUAGCUUUUUUGUUUCACUUACUUUGACGUUCACUAAUUAUAUAGAUGCUUCGACGUUUUCCUUAUCAUGGUGGAAAUAUGUAAUUUAAAGACGAGCUAUAGAAUAAGGAGAUUAACCCAAGCAUGGAGGCUUUCCGAUGUGUAAAUAACUAGAGUUGUAUCCAUAGUAAUUGAGUUUCCUUUCCCCUUUCGAGAACUAUCUGUAUGACUGUAUGUAGUAGCGAUGUAUGCUAUCUUCUGUGCUACCAUAAAAUGUUGAAUAUGCGUUUUUCACCCGAAACUACAAAUUUCCUGAGGGAUCACUAGAUAGUUUUAUUCCCAUAUAUUUUAUUAAAGUGUACGCAGACUUCUACGUAUUAAAAAAAGGUUGUGAAAUUAUUCAUUGCUUUGCUUGAUAAAAUUAUACUCUGUUGCCAUUCUGCAACUCAUAUUGGUACCCUCAUCUCUGAAGAACUCUAAGCUCCCCUGGAAUUGAGAAUCUUCUUAGUACAUGGUAAAUGUGAACGUUUUAUAGCAUUACUUGGUAUUUAGGGAAACUACAUGCUAAAUUUCAUUAACAUGUAAACUGCAGAAGGGGUUUAUUUAUUUAUUUAUAAGUAAAUAAUGACUUCCUUAUUGUUCUAACGCACAUAUCAUUCUACAUCAUUCAGCAACAAGUUGAUGAAAGCCUCCUUUGCACGGGAUGGGUCUCGAGGGAUUCGUGAGUGUUCCCAUACCUUAGUGAUUUGUGAAACAUCAAUAACUCGGUGUUUGAUGGAUAUAUCAUAUGCAAGGGGGGCAGCAGCCUCUGCCUCCCCAUGACAUCUCAUCAGUUCAGGUCUGCUAAGAUAGGUUUCUCUUUGAUUCCCCAUUGAUGGGAUAACACAUAGUUCCAGAUGUACAAUGUUAAUUGAACUAAAUCUUAUUGUUGUACUGUAUCAUUCAAUUUGUGUUAACCUGUCGAUGAGGUAUUCAGUUUUUGUUACAUGCAACAUGCAUAAAUUCAGUUAUUUUUUUCUUUCCUUUGUAUACACGUAUUUCCCUGCCUAACCUUUUAUGUUAUCCAGGUGAAUUAAUCCUGUAAAAAGCAACUGGUGAAAAUAUUGACGUUGAAGUUUGUGCCCACAGGUCAAGGAAAUUUUGAAGAGGUGGCAUAUAGCGUUGAUGGUUCUGAUGAUACAGUUAGCAAGGGUGUGACUAUCAGAGAUGAUAGUGGAUGUGUUAUAGAUCCUGCUUCAAGGUAGACACCCCUUGCUUUUGAUGCCUUGCAAACUGAAGCUAUUGCAGAUGAAUGUGCCAUGUACUUGACAAAUGCUCUUAUCAUUUACACAUUCAAACUGGCUGGUCUGCCCGCUCAAGGUCUGAAAAUUGGUGCAAGUGUAGUCAUCCUUA